rnacentral:rRNA from 1 species
GAUGAACGCUAGCUACAGGCUUAACACAUGCAAGUCGAGGGGAAACGACAUCGAAAGCUUGCUUUUGAUGGGCGUCGACCGGCGCACGGGUGAGUAACGCGUAUCCAACCUGCCCACCACUUGGGGAUAACCUUGCGAAAGUAAGACUAAUACCCAAUGAUAUCUCUAGAAGACAUCUGAAAGAGAUUAAAGAUUUAUCGGUGAUGGAUGGGGAUGCGUCUGAUUAGCUUGUUGGCGGGGUAACGGCCCACCAAGGCAACGAUCAGUAGGGGUUCUGAGAGGAAGGUCCCCCACAUUGGAACUGAGACACGGUCCAAACUCCUACGGGAGGCAGCAGUGAGGAAUAUUGGUCAAUGGACGAGAGUCUGAACCAGCCAAGUGGCGUGCAGGAAGACGGCCCUAUGGGUUGUAAACUGCUUUUAUAAGGGAAUAAAGUGAGUCUCGUGAGACUUUUUGCAUGUACCUUAUGAAUAAGGACCGGCUAAUUCCGUG